ACCGGUUUGGCUCAGUGGAGAGAGCCUCAGUCUGUGGACUGAAGGGUACUGGGUUCAAUUCCGGUAAAGGGCA
rnacentral:tRNA from 1 species